rnacentral:hammerhead_ribozyme from 1 species
GUUCUGCUGAAGAGUCCUGAGAGCUAGGACGAAACAGCUGUCCAGUAC